AACGAACGCUGGCGGCAGGCUUAACACAUGCAAGUCGAACGCGCGUAGCAAUACACGAGUGGCGCACGGGUGAGUAACGCGUGGAUAUCUGCCUUUUAGUUCGGAAUAACCCCGGGAAACUGGGGCUAAUACCGGAUGGUUCCUACGGGAUAAAGAUUUAUCGCCAAAAGAUGAGUCCGCGUCCGAUUAGCUAGUUGGUGAGGUAACGGCUCACCAAGGCGACGAUCGGUAGCUGGUCUGAGAGGACGAUCAGCCACACUGGGACUGAGACACGGCCCAGACUCCUACGGGAGGCAGCAGUGGGGAAUAUUGGACAAUGGGGGCAACCCUGAUCCAGCCAUGCCGCGUGAGUGAUGAAGGCCUUCGGGUUGUAAAGCUCUUUUGGCGGGGACGAUGAUGACGGUACCCGCAGAAUAAGCCCCGGCUAACUUCGUGCCAGCCGCCGCGGUAAGAC
rnacentral:rRNA from 1 species